CCUGGGGCCCCCUCACCCGCGUCCCCCGCGGCGGGGAAGGCGCCGGCGUGGCCGUGGAUGGUGGCCAACACCUGCGCCCUGCGCUCCUCAGGUGCAGGCCCUGGAAGACGAGGGAGGAGCCUGUGAGCCACCGGCCCACGUGAAAGUAAAUGCAUGAAGUUCCCUCUCACUGAACUGAAAAGAGCCUCAACCUGGACCUGACACCAACUUCGCCGGUGCUGCCUGGCUGGUUGCUCUAGCGCCCUGAAGGAGAGGAAUGCAGUCAUAUUUCACUGUGAUUUUCAGUGUCAUUUCCACGAAGACUAAUGAUGUUGAGCUUUUUUUUCUCCAUAAUACAGAUGGAGUCUCCAUCUGUUGCCCAGGCUGGAGUGCAGUGGUGCGAUCUCGGCUCACUGCAACCUCCGCCACCUGGGUUCAAGUGAUUUUCCUGCCUCAGCCUCCGGAGCAGCUGGGAUUACAGGCACGCGUCACCACACCUGGCUAAUUUUUGUAUUUUUCGUAGAGACAGAGUUUCACCAUGUUGGCCAGGCUGGUCUCCAAAUCCUGACCUCAGAUGAUCCACCCACCUGGGACUCCCAAAGUGCUGGGAUGACAGACAGGCGUGAGCCACUGCACCCGGCCAAUAAUGGUUAUUUCUAGCUAGAUACUACUGUCACGUUUCAAGAUGGCUCACUUAAACCUGUACUUCUGGCAGGAAAGAGACCCAAACCCAUGAAGAAUGAGAUACGUGUACAGUUUUGAUUAUAAAACCAAAGAAUAAUGGCUUCACAAGAUGACGGCUGGGCUCCUGGGCUGCCUUCAGUGUCUUUAAACAGAGGAAGCUUCGGGAUGUGUGAAGGCAGACCCGACUUCAGGACCUCAUUCAGAGCGAGAGCCUGGGAACACUGGUGUGAGGCAGCACCGUGCCCUUGCCGUGCACCCAGGGGGUUUUGUGAGACGAGAGAUAGAGUCUUGCUAUGUUGUCCAGGCUGGCACUGAACUCUUGGGCUCCAACGAUCCUCCUGCCCCGGCCUCCUGAGUAGCUGGGAUUAUAGGCACAAGUCACCAUGCCCAGCCGGAAUAAUCUGAAGGAAAGAUGGGUAUAUUCAAGAUGACUUUGCUGCUGGAAAUAUGACAGAAUAAUGUGGUAUCUUCCUCUGCACUUCCAAGCUCUUUCACACUCAGGCUCCUCCUGGCUUUUCUGCCUCAGACACCAUAAACUGUGGUUGCUUCUCCAGCUCUGUUACAGUUCAGACUUGAGGGGAGGUGACAAGAGCUAACAUGUUACCAUGGGGAGCCUGGCUGACAUCUCCGAAACUGAAGACUCUAUGGAAGCCUCAUGCUAUUGCAAUGUGUACAUCAAAAGUAAAGUACCCCAGGUUAAAACUAU